GCCUCCGUAGGUCAUGACAGACCACCUGAAAACUGUGAAGGCGCAUAGAAGUUUCUACAGGAGACGCGGGUUCAACUCCCACCGGAGGCA